rnacentral:tRNA from 1 species
GGUGGCUCAGUGGUGGAGCGCUUGCCUCGCAUGCAGGAAUCCCUGGGUGCGAUUCCUCAGCACCA